GAUGAACGCUGGCGGCGUGCCUAAUACAUGCAAGUCGAGCGAACGGACGAGAAGCUUGCUUCUCUGAUGUUAGCGGCGGACGGGUGAGUAACACGUGGAUAACCUACCUAUAAGACUGGGAUAACUUCGGGAAACCGGAGCUAAUACCGGAUAAUAUUUUGAACCGCAUGGUUCAAAAGUGAAAGACGGUCUUGCUGUCACUUAUAGAUGGAUCCGCGCUGCAUUAGCUAGUUGGUGAGGUAACGGCUUACCAAGGCAACGAUGCAUAGCCGACCUGAGAGGGUGAUCGGCCACACUGGAACUGAGACACGGUCCAGACUCCUACGGGAGGCAGCAGUAGGGAAUCUUCCGCAAUGGGCGAAAGCCUGACGGAGCAACGCCGCGUGAGUGAUGAAGGUCUUCGGAUCGUAAAACUCUGUUAUUAGGGAAGAACAUAUGUGUAAGUAACUGUGCACAUCUUGACGGUACCUAAUCAGAAAGCCACGGCUAACUACG
rnacentral:rRNA from 1 species